CGCUCUCGCAACGGCUCUCUCGGCUCUCGCAUCGAUGAAGCCGUAGCGAAAUGCGAUACUUGGUGUGAAUUGCAGAAUCCCGUGAACCAUCGAGUCUUUGCGCAAGUUGCGCCCGAAGCCGUUAGGCCGAGGGCCCGUCUGCCUGGGCGUCC
rnacentral:rRNA from 1 species